rnacentral:pre_miRNA from 1 species
GGCCCAAAUUUGUAGUAGAGUAAAUUAGUAGGAUCGACUCACUCUACUAAGCUACUGUACUUCAAGUUUGUGCCC